rnacentral:rRNA from 1 species
GACAGAGGCCUCAAGCGUUUAGGCGGAAUCACUGGGCUUAAAGCGUGUGUAGGCGGACUUCUAAGUGCCUUGUGAAAUCCCACGGCUCAACCGUGGAACUGCUGGGCAUACUGGGAGUCUUGGGCCAUUCAGGGGCAACUGGAACAAGCGGUGGAGCGGUGAAAUGACGUAGAUAUCGCUUGGAACGCCGAAGGUGAAAACAGGUUGCUGGGG